AGUCACGAAGUCGCAAGUUAAAAAGAGUGGAUCUCUCUCAGAAUUUCGGAGCUCCAGAGAGUGUUGGAGGUGGAUGUGCAAGGAGAUAAGUUAGGUGAAUGAGCAUGUUACCGGAGAUGGUGCAGGUAAAUGCGGUUGAGAAUAAAUUCAAUUCCAUUGAACGGCAUUUGAUGUCAGAGGAUAUACAUCGCCGCUUUUUCACUUCUUUUUAAUUCGGAACGUGCUUAUCACAUGCCGAGACCUUUUUCAGAAGCAUGCAUGUUGUCGCUAUUUGAAGUGAUUUUGCUUUUUCUUUCACGCAGGUUAGAAAAGAUGUUUCAAGUUGAGUGAAGACGAAAUGUGAAGAAGGCGAUGGUGAUGGGGGGUGGCGAGGCUGCAAGGCUCCGCAGAAUCCGGAAAGGCGCAUUUUGAAGAAACUUAGCUAUGGCGUCUAGGAUUUCUGAUUGGAUCCAGUUUGAGGCAAACGUAGCGCUCAUACGAGAUUUGCAUCACAUUAGAUUCAGAAACACUAAGCAAAUAGUUUAGCUCAAGUCACUGAAGGAAACGAGCUUAGUUAGGAAGCAGUAUUUUCUAAAAUAUCCAAAACCCAGAAAGAAUCAGUUGUAGUAUCGCGCGUGUCAGCAACACGACUGAAGGACAAGGAGCCUCACCCUGACGGACGCUGAGCACCGCAGGAGCAGAACGGAAGUAGCAACCGUCGCAUACAGAGUACCACUAAAACCCUAAACUCGGCAUUUCAAUUUGCUGACUCUGUUUUGUAAUGCAUCAUGAUCUCAGGAGUCUCAACAGCACAUCAUCCACUCGCCGACCUCCCCUCGCAUGGAAAGAUCAUAGCCUUGAUGGACUCUCUCGAAUGCCACGGAGUAAACACCCAGGACCACCAGACCAUCAACCCGGAGGACAACAACACAGAGGGGUGGAUAGUUGUAUCAAACAAACUUUUAACAAGAAAUAUGUCCAUCGCAGGCCCUUCACCAAGUAAAAAACGGCCCAUCACCUCCAGCAUCGUAGAUAACAACAUCUGAAGUGCAAUUAACUUAUAAGACACCCCAGAAUCCGCAUCACCCUACCCACUAAUAUUACACAUAACUAUGAAAACAUCAAGGCUUUUUGAUGGAUUAGAUACAAGUUGCACCACUAACCAACAUAGGACAUGGUAGCAAAAACAUCACUACUUAUCUAUUGGAGUCAAUCCAAUGGAUCAACCAAUGGCAAUCUUUGGAUGACAGAACCUCUAUUUGCCACAUUUUAGCAUUCAUCAAAGUGUCACAAAUCAACAAUGAAUUCUAAUUCAAUGAAGCACUACACCAAUGGAUUGAGGUUGAUG
rnacentral:lncRNA from 1 species